AGGCGUGGACGUCAGCACAAUGC
rnacentral:miRNA from 1 species